rnacentral:misc_RNA from 1 species
CGUAGGGGAACCUGCGGCCGGAUCACCUCCUUAGUUAUCAUCUUGCAACACAGAGCAUAAGACAAAAAGAGAAAAAUGGGUGAAGAGGGGAGAAAAGUACUAACUAAUCAUCAUGUGAUGUUUUUGUAGAUAUUGUGUUAUAUACAUUAUAAAUGCAGACUCUGCUGAUGAUGGCUGUGCAAGUAUUAUGAUGAACAGCAAUAUUACGCUCUGUGAGAGAAUAUAUGAUAUAUGGUCUCAGAGAGCAGUUAAUUAAUAUCGUGUCUAUCUGGUCUUUUUGCAUACAAAAAGUCAAGUCAGUACUACCAAACAAAAAAAAACGGAUGAAUGCAUAGAAAAAAAAGAACGGAUGCAAUUCUUUGUCACAAAAAACUGAGGAGUUGUAGAGACAAAGGAUGAAGUUGGCGUAGCAGGCAGCAGCAGAACCACCAUAAGAAAAAAGAGGGUGGUAAGCUGCCUGCGAUGAUGUCGUGUAUAGGAUCAAACCAUUAAAAAACAUAACAAAUACAUUAGAAUAUAUUAAAAUCAUAAUGAUUCACGUAAAAAUGAAAUAGUGAAUAAUUAAUAAAAUAAUGUAUAUCUGGUUGUAGCGCAGUGUAAUAUAUUAAAAACAUACCUAGUUUUAUUCUAAAAAAAUAGAAAUUAAUUAGUUAUUACCAUCCAAUAGAAAACAAAACUGGAGCUGGUGCAAAGACGCCGAUUGGUGGAUG